CCAAUAGCGUAUAUUAAAGUUGUUGCAGUUAAAAAGCUCGUAGUUGAAUUUCGGGACCAAUAUGUCGGUCGUGCUUCGGUACGUACUGGCAUUAUUGGUUUCUCCCUUCUGACGAACCAUGAUGUCAUUAAUUUGGUGUCUUGGGGAAUCAGGACUGUUACUUUGAAAAAAUUAGAGUGUUUAAAGCAGGCUCUCGCUUGAUUACAUUAGCAUGGAAUAAUGAAAUAGGACGUUUGAUUCUAUUUUGUUGGUUUCUAGGAUCGACGUAAUGAUUAAUAGUGAUAGUUGGGGGCAUUAGUAUUCAAUUGUCAGAGGUGAAAUUCUUGGAUUUAUUGAAGACUAACUACUGCGAAAGCAUUUGCCAAGGAUGUUUUCACUAAUCAAGAACGAAAGUUAGGGGAUCGAAGACGAUCAGAUACCGUCGUAGUCUUAACCAUAAACUAUGCCGACUAGGGAUCGGAUGAUGUUAAUUUUUUAAUGACUCAUUCGGCGCCUUACG
rnacentral:rRNA from 1 species